AAUUUCUAAUAAUUAAUUAUUAAACCAAUAGAUGAUGGUGUCAUAGUAUAAUUAAUUAAUAAUUGCUAAUUUGGCAAUUUAAUUCAAAAAUAAAUCACUAAAGAUAUAAUUUAGUUAGUUUGGGAAUAUUUGCAUACAAUGAUAUUGAACAAAUGCUUUUUAUUUUUUAAAACAAGAAAUUGUGUAUUUUCUUGCUUACCAGAAUUUUAUAUGGAUAAAGCUAAAGAAACAUAUUAUAAAAAUAAAGAUUGAAUAUUUAUUUUCUUUGUCCAAGUUUCUAGCACUGGCUCAUGGUGAAACAGUCAUUUACCAUCUUGAAGAAUCUAGGUUCAAUUCCUCUUUCAGUUUUUUCAGGGGGGUCUUGGCCCCAGUUGUUGAACCUCAUCCUCUAUCUGACAGCUGAUUCUACUAAUAGGGUGAGAACAGAAAUGGAAUGGUUUCUAGCGUUGGCCCAUAGUGAGAAUGGAAAUGUCCUGUUGCAUAAUACCCACUGAGUGGAAAGUGAUGUCAGAUCAUGUAGAGAAAAACAUGCCCUCCAAUUGACUGGCUGCUACUAUUGCAAAACCAUUUUUGGUGUGUCUGUUAUAAGUAUGAAUUUUCAUUGUAAAUAAUCACUGUCAUAAGUAUGGAUUGUCAUAAGUUGGGGAUCACCUGUAAAAUUAAAGGAAAGCUUUUGUUACAUAUUUUUAUUUUCAGUUUUAUUAUUAUAAUGAAUUAAUUAAUAAAGCAUAAAAACUUAUAAAAAAAUAUAAAAGAUAUAUUAAUGAAAUAUUCUAAUCAAUAUAUAUGUUAUAACAAUGCAACAAAAUAAUAUAAAAACAUUAUAUUAUCUUUUAAAAAAAAAGUACAAAUAAC
rnacentral:lncRNA from 1 species